UAAAGGUGAGCCACAGACAUGCAGCACCACCAGAGACAACAACACCCCGUGGCAAGAAGACCAUGUUCUGGACUGUCUCCGUACUGCCACGGGCACAGAAGAAGAAGAAAACCACAGGAGUCCCAUGAAGGUGCAGAGGUCUACACAGGAGUUCAGGAUAGACACCUUGCUGGCAGGACAUGGCCACAGACUCCUCUAACUUAUUCCCCAAAGUGCAAGAGCAGGUCUUCUUCAGUCCAUCCUUCUAACCUGUCCAGAGCAGCUGUAUGCUUACUGCCAGAUCGCUCUACCCUUCUGGGGCAACAGGACUCGAGCCCUGAGGACUCUGCAAAGCUAGGCCCCUGAUGGUCUACUAUGCUUAGAGACCAUUAUGCAUGGGGCUCUUUGGGCUUCUAAAGGGCUCCCUGGGAGAAACUGCCUUCCAAAUCUGACUACUAAGAUGAUACUAUGGGAACAGAUUGUGAGGACAGAAAGAAAAAAAUAAAUAAAAAUUAAAAACGUAGAAAAAAGAAAAAAAAAA
ensembl:lncRNA novel transcript